AAUAGAUACCCCGGGUAGUCCACGCCGUAAACGAUGAGUGCUAAGUGUUAGAGGGUUUCCGCCCUUUAGUGCUGCAGCUAACGCAUUAAGCACUCCGCCUGGGGAGUACGGCCGCAAGGCUGAAACUCAAAGGAAUUGACGGGGGGCCCGCACAAGCGGUGGAGCAUGUGGUUUAAUUCGAAGCAACGCGAAGAACCUUACCAGGUCUUGACAUCCUCUGACAACCCUAGAGAUAGGGCUUUCCCCUUCGGGGGACAGAGUGACAGGUGGUGCAUGGUUGUCGUCAGCUCGUGUCGUGAGAUGUUGGGUUAAGUCCCGCAACGAGCGCAACCCUUGAUCUUAGUUGCCAGCAUUCAGUUGGGCACUCUAAGGUGACUGCCGGUGACAAACCGGAGGAAGGUGGGGAUGACGUACUAAUCAUCAUGCCCCUUAUGACCUGGGCUACACACGUGCUACAAUGGAGUGUAACAAAGGGCUGCAAACCUGCGAAGUAAGCGAAUCCAUAAGCCAUUCUCAGUUCGGAUUGC
rnacentral:rRNA from 1 species